GCACUAUUGCCUAUUUAUAGCUGUUCUAUUGCCUGAAAAAACCCUCUUCUAUUGCCUAAAUUAAAUCCGUCGUUAUUGCUAAAAAUUAACAAAUUGGCUUUCAGUAAAAGCCUCCACCAACCUUGAAUAGAUGGAAGAGCCCCUCAAAAUUGCAAUUGAUUGUUUCUCUACUUCCAUACAUUCUAGAGUGUCAAGAAAUUGUGAUUACCUUGAAUAAGGGGCGAUUCCAGCAAGCAACCACAAACAUCAAACAUGUCCUGAAUAUUUACAUUAGUAUUCCUGUGACAGCGCUGUUCCAUCUAUUUAGACUAGUAUGUGCAAAAGCAGACCAACACUCAGUACUGAACAUGAUGAUGCAACGUGAGUGAUGCCUGUAUCAUUUAGAUGAUGCAAAAUAGGUCGCCUGCAUCAUUGAGAUGGUGGACCUCUCUAUUGCCUAAUUUAUUCAGUAUUAUUGCCUACAUCUCGACCAGAGUGUUGUAUGUGCCUUAGAAGAACAUACGCCAGAUUUAGCACGAAAUUGAAUGUACUAGUUCACCCUGAAAUAUGGAACCUGCAGAACACCUCAAAAUCCUCUCGGGAGUUUUAGCACAAAAACAGUAGCUGAUAAACUCCAUCCCUCUCUCCAAAAAAUUCACUGCAAUUGUGAUGCGGGUGUCGCCCUCGGUGUGAAUUCCCCAACAUGCGAUUCCGGCCGCCGGGCCCCCGAUUCCGGCGACUGCGACGGCCAAAUCCCCCUAAAGUGAGGGCGCAGGGCGCGGGCUUAGCGGUUCGCUGCGCCGUCGUCGUUCACCUCUCGCGUCACCGGCGGGCUCCCUCCUGUUUCUCUCGUUGUUGAGCGAUCUUCUCGGUCGACUUAGGGUGGUCGCUCCUGGCCCACUUGCUCCUCGCCGACGUUAUCACGUUAUCUGUCACGUGGCGUGAUCGCGCGAUGAUCGGUCCAGCGUCGGUCGCUUGCGACGCCCCGAUCGCGCGCACGCGUCGCCCAUCAAUUGGGAAUAAAAAAAGAAAAGAAAAAAUCCGCACGAAUCUCCGCAUAAAAUCAAAUGGUGUACUCCCUCCUUCCAUCUAUACAGGGCCUAAGUUUUGAAUCUAUUGUACCAAGGCUGUUGCAUAAAAAGAGGAGCAAAUAUUAGGAAUAGUACUUGGCCAACCAAAUCGCAUGCAAGAUUUUUUCUGGGCGCCGUGUAACCCGCUCUUCUCCCUCUCUAUUAAUCCCUCACAUGCAACGUCCUCUCCCUCUUUUUCUGCAUGUAACUCAACAAUAACUCCUCCAGGCCUUCAUACAUUGGCCAAAAAAUGAGCUCGCUCCUAUUAAGUUCAUGGCUCUCUGCAUGCAUGCAAAUAAAUGUUGCCAGCAUCGCAUUUUACUAGGAGGACUGCGCACAACCUGCGAGGGGAAUUAAGUGGGAGACGCAUCGGGUAGCUCGUUCGGCCUUCUAUAGAUGAAAAAAAUGAAAUUUAGGGUUAGGCCUUAUAUACUCCCUCCGGUCCUUUUUACUCUGCAUAUUAGGUUUGUCUGAAGUCAAUCUCAUCCAACUUUGACCAAGUUUAUAUAAAAAAUUAUUGACAUUUACAUAACAACACCAAUAUCAUUAGAUUCAUCUCGGAAUAUAUUUUCAUAUUAUAUUUAUUAGAUAUUAUAGAUGCUAAUAAUUUUAAUAUAAAUUUGGUCAAACUUAGCUAAGUUUGACUUUCGACAAAUCCAAUAUGCAAAGUAAAAAGGACCCGAGGAAGUACAUGGAAGGAGGGAGUAUGAUUUAGAUGUGACUUAGUUAAUUCUCAUCCAGAUGACAGCUAGCCACGUUGUCAAAUCUGUAUCAUUUCGAUUUAAAAAAAACCGUAUCAUCUCGGCUUGGGUUUCUUCAAGUUCCUUCUCUUUUGUUUCUGUGCGCACGCUACAACUUCGAUUUUCCAAAUAUUGAUCCUGUAGGUAGUUCUGGUUGCCAAUUCAGUGCCAACUUUGAAGUUGUAACUUAAGCUCCAAAGGGCGGCUUUAUAGUCGAUAUAUAUGGCAUUAUUGCUAGAUCCAGUGUCAGACACCUACCUCAAUUUUAAGUGAAAG